UACGUAGGGGGCAAGCGUUGUCCGGAAUCAUUGGGCGUAAAGCGCGUGUAGGCGGCUCGGUAAGUCCGCUCUGAAAGCCCGGGGCUCAACCCCGGGAGGCGGGUGGAUACUGCUGAGCUCGAGUCCGGAAGAGGAGUGUGGAAUUCCUGGUGUAGCGGUGAAAUGCGCAGAUAUCAGGAGGAACACCAAUGGCGAAGGCAGCACUCUAGGACGGUACUGACGCUGAGACGCGAAAGCGUGGGGAGCAAACAGG
rnacentral:rRNA from 1 species